rnacentral:hammerhead_ribozyme from 1 species
AUGCAGAUGACGAGUCCCAAAUAGAACGAAAUGCACAUCCUGGAU